rnacentral:tRNA from 1 species
AAAAUGUUAGUAAAUAAUAUUACACUGCCUUGUCAAGACAGAAUUACAAGUUUAACUCCUGUACAUUUUA